GAGUUUGAUCGUGGCUCAGAGUGAACGCUGGCGGUAGGCCUAACACAUGCAAGUCGAACGGUAACAGGUCUUUCGGGAUGCUGACGAGUGGCGGACGGGUGAGGAAUACAUCGGAAUCUGCUCAGUCGUGGGGGAUAACGCAUGGAAACGCGCGCUAAUACCGCAUACGACCUUCGGGUGAGAGCAGGGGAAUCUUUAGGGAUCCUUGCGCGAUUGAAUGAGCCGAUGUCGGAUUAGCUAGUUGGUAGGGUAAAAGCCUACCAAGGCGACGAUCCGUAGCUGGUCUGAGAGGAUGAUCAGCCACACUGGGACUGAGACACGGCCCAGACUCCUGCGGGAGGCAGCAGUGGGGAAUAUUGGACAAUGGGGGCAACCCUGAUCCAACCAUACCGCGUGGGUGAAGAAGGCCUUCUGGGUUGUAAAGCCCUUUUGUUGGGGAAGAAAAACAACGGGUUAAUACCCCGUUGGUAUGACGGUACCCAAAGAAUAAGCACCGGCUAACUUCGUGCCAGCAGCCGCGGUAAUACGAAGGGUGCAAGCGUUACUCGGAAUUACUGGGCGUAAAGGGUGCGUAGGUGGUUGCGCCAGUCUGUCGUGAGAGCCCUGGGCUUAACCUGGGAAUGGCGAUGGAAACUGUGCAACUAGAGUGUGACAGAGGGUGGUGGAAUUCCUGGUGUAGCAGUGAAAUGCGUAGAGAUCAGGAGGAACAUUCGUGGCGAAGGCGGCCACCUGGGUCAACACUGACACUGAGGCACGAAAGCGUGGGGAGCAAACAGGAUUAGAUACCCUGGUAGUCCACGCCCUAAACGAUGCGAACUGGAUGUUGGGUCCAACUUGGGAUUCAGUAUCGAAGCUAACGCGUUAAGUUCGCCGCCUGGGGAGUACGGUCGCAAGACUGAAACUCAAAGGAAUUGACGGGGGCCCGCACAAGCGGUGGAGUAUGUGGUUUAAUUCGAUGCAACGCGCAGAACCUUACCUGGCCUUGACAUGCACGGAACCUUU
rnacentral:rRNA from 1 species